CAACCCCUCAAGCCCUGCUUGGUGUUGGGGCCCUACGUGCGCCGUAGGCCCCGAAUUCCAGUGGCGGGCUCGCCGCGAACCCGAGCGUAGUAGCUUUUGCCUCGCUCAGGGCCCGCGGCGGGCGCCUGCCGUGAAAGAACCCACUAUUCUUCA
rnacentral:misc_RNA from 1 species